UUUAAAAAAAUAAUAAUAGAUAGACAUAGAUAUAGGUGUAAUACAAGGCAUAGCAACCAGAAUGUCAAGUCUCCACAGCAACGCUGGAAUGUAGAAUAUUAGGAACCACUGUUUUCAAUAUUCUGAGGGAGAUACAUUUUCAACCCACAGUGCCAAACCAAACAAAACUUUAUCAAAUAGGAGGAUAAGAUAAAGAUAUUUUCAGGCAUGCAAAAAUGCCUUUAUUUCUCAAACAUCCUUUCUGAAGCAGCUACUGAAGAAUUUCUUUUUAUGAAAGAAAGAAACAACAACAACAAAGGCAGACAUGAGACCAAGAAAUACAGCCCAUCAUCCGGAUGGCAGCCACAGAAAGUAAAGCUCAAUCCACAGUUCAGAAAUUCUAAUUUGAAAAGAGAAAAAUACACACAAAGUAUACAAUGACUCAUCCAAAAAAGUAAAAAGCAGUCUUUUGACAAAGUUGGAGAAAUAAAAUCAAUUUACCUACUUCUAACACUAUAUUUCCUCCACUAUCACCUCUUUCUUGUUCCAACUCUUCUUGAAGGCAACACUACAUUGAACUGUAGAAGAUGCAAGAUGUUUCUUCAAAUAUGAAAAAAUCUUGGUAUUUCCGAACCAGGAAAUACUGAUAGCUCAUUGUUCUCUCAAGUUAUUUGAGCCUUUUUCAUUUAUCUUCCGUAUAUUUUUCUGGUCUCCAACAUCGCCAUGUGAGACCAGGGAUCACAAUUCAUCCUUCCUUGUAACUCAAAAAGUUCUCGACAUAUGAUAAGUGCUCAACAGCUGUGUAACCUACAUGAUAUUGACUGUGUCGCAAUUAAAGCAUAAUUCACCAGAGUUGCCCCUUCAAGUGUGAAGAUUCUUAAUGGAGCUACAUAAGAAGCUAACAAAGACCUGUCCAACAGGAGUAAACUAAUCAAGUGCAGCCCCCGAAUUCUGAAGAACACUAGAAGAAAACAGACUUUCCCUAAAUAUCACGUGAUAGAGGCUCAUUACGUAAAGACUAUACUUUGAGCAAAUACUAGACAAAGACUAUGAAAUGUCUGCAAUUCUGAUUAGGGUCCUAGAACAAGAAGUCAACAAUCCAGAACAGAUGGCAUGAGAAAUACUAAAGAAACUACUCCAGGCCCUAAUGCGUUGGUCUUACCUGGCUGUCCGCAGGACUUGGGGGCAGUGGACGCCGAGGGCGUAACGCCAACUAAGCAGCAUGCCACAGAAUCAUGUUUUCCUGAGAUUUGUGGUUUUCUGGGUAUACUCUCCAUUACAGUUGCUGAUUUGUUUUUAUUGCUGUUGUUGAUGCUAAAAGGGACAGCUGGAAACUAGGGAUUGAAAGUUUCCAGCUCCAGAUGAGCUCAAGGUUAUAGCCCCAGACCUUACACAAGGAACUCGAAUCAAUUUUGCCAAGGUUCUCACUAACAGAAUCUGUGAGAUCAAGAGCAGUGUGCCAAGGGUCUCUUGUACCAAGAAAUAUUUUAAAAGCUGCAGUCUUUUGGAAUUCUGUUUUCCUCUGUAGCCCCCUAAGCCACUGGGAUAUUGAAGCAAGAUUUCAAUAAAGACUAAGCUCACAUUUUACAUGUAGAAUGGGAACCAGACAGAGAAGAUCUGAAAUUCAGUCAUAAGGAAGAGUUCAGGCCGGUUAUUUUAUGCGUGUCUCCUACACACAGACUAGAAACUAUAGCUCUAAAAUUGAUCCCACUGGGACCGGAGGCAAAAUAUUUUCCAGGAUGAAUACGCUGCGCUAAUUGCGUUCCUCCAUCCUUUUGUUCCCCAUCCUCUCUAGGCUUUUCCCUUUUCUCUUUAUCUCUUCCCCUUGGUAAACUCUCCGGAGAGAGAAUUUGUUUCUUUUUCCCUCACAGAAUCGAAAGGAAACACUCACAAGAAAGAGGUGGUCUGAAAUAAGAACUAAGAGGACAAAGGGCACAUUCAAGAAAAGAAUCCCUUAAAAACUGCUCCGCAUUUGGAUAUGUUUUCAUUCACCAACUUGUGCAAUAGAAUCUUUAAGAGGCCAGAAACAGAAGCACCUCAGUUCUUUCACAGAAGACCAAUAAGGUCCUGCAUCCCUUUGCAUCUUCCUCUCCCUUGCUUAAGCCACCCUAAUAAAGAAGUGAAUUUCCUCUC
ensembl:lncRNA